CUCUCUCUUAAAGGGCAGCACUCUACUCUCUCCUCUAGUUCUGUUUCCCUCCCACCUUCUUUGGUUAAUAACCCCCUCGUCCUUCCUAUUGUGUUUUUAUACCCCACCUCCUACAGACUGUAAGCUUGCUUGAGCAAGGUUCUCAUAAACCCAUUGUUCCUGUAACAUUUUGUAUUUGUCUCAUUUAUUGUGAAAUUUCCCCUUUUUAUAAUAUUGGAAAGCCCUGCAGAAUAUAG